rnacentral:rRNA from 1 species
AACGAACGCUGGCGGCAUGCCUAACACAUGCAAGUCGAACGAGACCUUCGGGUCUAGUGGCGCACGGGUGCGUAACGCGUGGGAAUCUACCCUUGGGUUCGGAAUAACAGUUAGAAAUGACUGCUAAUACCGGAUGAUGACGUAAGUCCAAAGAUUUAUCGCCCAAGGAUGAGCCCGCGUAAGAUUAGCUUGGUGGUGGGGUAAUGGCCUACCAAGGCGACGGUCUUUAGCUGGUCUGAGAGGAUGAUCAGCCACACUGGGACUGAGACACGGCCCAGACUCCUACGGGAGGCAGCAGUGGGGAAUAUUGGACAAUGAGCGAAAGCCUGAUCCAGCAAUGCCGCGUGAGUGAUGAAGGCCUUAGGGUUGUAAAGCUCUUUUACCAGGGAUGAUAAUGACAGUACCUGGAGAAUAAGCUCCGGCUAACUCCGUGCCAGCAGCCGCGGUAA